UUGCUUACUGUUUCAGAUUUUGCCUUUUAUAUAUAUACUCAGGAGCCCGUCGUCUUUUGAGCUACUCAGGCGACAAAGCCAGACUCCUCGGCCAAAGCCCAAAACAAUGUGAAGUUCAUGUUGUCCAAUGCUGUGCGUUCACUCUAAAAAAUGCUCGACACCUUCGGCUCCUUCAUCACUAUCCCUUCUCAGCUCCGUACCAACUACCAUUUCCCCCCUUUUAACUGCCUUUUGAACUCCUGUUCCUCUCUCUCUCAACUGAAAAUUACCCAUGCUCUUAUUAUCACAACUGGGUCUCACCAGUGUCCUACUUUCUACCAAGUUUAUUUCCCUGGUGAUCCAUGUGUAUUCAUCGAUGGACUACGCUCGUAAGCUGUUUGAUACAAUGUCCCAAAGGGAUGUCUUUCUUUGGAAUGCAAUGAUUAAGGGUUAUGCUGAUGUGGGCCCUUGCCAGGAGGCUGUAACCCUUUUCAAAGAUAUGCACCAGACUGGGUUCUUACCCGAUAACCAUACUUUCCCCUCUGUGGUUCGGUCUUGUUCGGUGAUAUCAGCUUUUAGGGAGGGGACAGAAGUGCAUUGUUUCUGUUGAACUAGCUGAGAUUGCAGCAAAACAAAUGUUUCUGUUGGAUCCUCAAAGUGUAACUUCCUAUGUCCUUAUGUCGUAUGUUUAUGCUGAAGCUGGAAGAUGGGAAGAUGUGGCGAGAUUGAGAAACUUAAUGAAAGAAAGAGAGUUGAAAAAACUACCUGGCCAAAGUUUUGUUGAGGCAAAUCGGAGGUUUCACAAAUUUUUAGCGGGUUUGAAAUCCCAAUCCUCUUUUACCACUCAAUGAAGCAGAACAUCUCUACAAUAUACAUGUAUAAAAGGAAGGUACAAGGGAGGCUUUUCUCUCUCCUACUUGGCAGCCUCAUUUUUUUUCCCAAUCUAUAUCUCUCAGUUUUGGUUGAAUGAUUGUUUGGUAAUAGGUUGCGUAAAGAAGACUGUGCCAAGGUAAAAAUUGAAGGGGAAAGCAUCUAUAAUAGUCUACCGGCUAUCUGUCUUCAGUGGGAAACCAUAGCAACCAAUCUUCAGGAAUUUCGAGAAAAUAUACAAACACUGGCGGAUUUGAUCUAAUUAACGAACCAAGCGCUUCCCACAUCUCCUUUCCUCUUAUAAUUUUGGGUUUCCUCCAACUUCUAAGGGUUUGUAAUCUUAAAUUAUGCUCGCUGAGGACCCAGAACUACAGGCAAUAUUUAUGUGACAGGUUAAUUCUCUUCUAUCCCAUCUUCAAGUGUGGGUUUCUAUCAAUUUCUGUUGUUUUCUAUAGAAGAUUUAUGGUAUUGAGAAUUCUAUGUGUUAUUUGUAUUUCUUUAUAGAAUACAUUUAUAUAGUAUAUACCAGUGGUUGAGUUG